AGUGAACGCUGGCGGUAGGCCUAACACAUGCAAGUCGAACGGCAGCACAGUAAGAGCUUGCUCUUACGGGUGGCGAGUGGCGGACGGGUGAGGAAUACAUCGGAAUCUACUUUUUCGUGGGGGAUAACGUAGGGAAACUUACGCUAAUACCGCAUACGACCUACGGGUGAAAGCAGGGGAUCUUCGGACCUUGCGCGAUUGAAUGAGCCGAUGUCGGAUUAGCUAGUUGGCGGGGUAAAGGCCCACCAAGGCGACGAUCCGUAGCUGGUCUGAGAGGAUGAUCAGCGACACUGGAACUGAGACACGGUCCAGACUCCUACGGGAGGCAGCAGUGGGGAAUAUUGGACAAUGGGCGCAAGCCUGAUCCAGCCAUACCGCGUGGGUGAAGAAGGACUUCGGGUUGUAAAGCCCUUUUGUUGGGAAAGAAAAGCAGCAGGUUAAUACCCCGCUGUUCUGACGGUACCCAAAGAAUAAGCACCGGCUAACUUCGUG
rnacentral:rRNA from 1 species